rnacentral:rRNA from 1 species
UACGUAGGGGGCAAGCGUUAUCCGGAUUCACUGGGUGUAAAGGGAGCGUAGACGGCGACGCAAGUCUGGAGUGAAAGCCCGGGGCCCAACCCCGGGACUGCUCUGGAAACUGCGUCGCUGGAGUACGGGAGGGGCAGGCGGAAUUCCUGGUGUAGCGGUGAAAUGCGUAGAUAUCACGAGGAACACCGGCGGCGAAGGCGGCCUGCUGGACCGUGACUGACGUUGAGGCUCGAGAGCGUGGGGAGCAAACAGG